UCGUAACAAGGUUUCCGUAGGUGAACCUGCGGAAGGAUCAUUACUGAUUUGCUUAAUUGCACCACAUGUGUUUUUCUUUGAAACAAACUUGCUUUGGCGGUGGGCCCAGCCUGCCGCCAGAGGUCUAAACUUACAACCAAUUUUUUAUCAACUUGUCACACCAGAUUAUUACUAAUAGUCAAAACUUUCAACAACGGAUCUCUUGGUUCUCGCAUCGAUGAAGAACGCAGCGAAAUGCGAUACGUAAUAUGAAUUGCAGAUAUUCGUGAAUCAUCGAAUCUUUGAACGCACAUUGCGCCCUCUGGUAUUCCGGAGGGCAUGCCUGUUUGAGCGUCGUUUCUCCCUCAAACCGCUGGGUUUGGUGUUGAGCAAUACGACUUGGGUUUGCUUGAAAGACGGUAGUGGUAAGGCGGGAUCGCUUUGACAAUGGCUUAGGUCUAACCAAAAACAUUGCUUGCGGCGGUAACGUCUACCACGUAUAUCUUCAAACUUUGACCUCAAAUCAGGUAGGACUACCCGCUGAACUUAAGCAUAUCAAUAAGCCGGAGGAA
rnacentral:misc_RNA from 1 species